rnacentral:rRNA from 1 species
AAUAGAUACCCGGGUAGUCCACGCCCUAAACGAUGGAUACUAGGCGUAAGAGGUAUCGACCCCUCUUGUGCCGCAGCUAACGCACUAAGUAUCCCGCCUGGGGAGUACGGCCGCAAGGUUGAAACUCAAAUGAAUUGACGGGGACCCGCACAAGCGGUGGAGCAUGUGGAUUAAUUCGAUACUAACCGAAGAACCUUACCCAGACUUGACAUCGAUCGCAAGCUCUAGAAAUAGGGCCCUCCCCCACAAGGGGACGUGAAGACACUUGUUGCAUGGCUGUCGUCAGCUCGUGCCGUGAGGUGUACGGUUAAGUCCGCCAACGAGCGCAACCCUCGUCCUGUGUUACCAGCAUGAAAGAUGGGAACCCACAGGAGACCGCCGGUGUAAGCCGGAGGAAGGUGGGGAUGACGUCAAGUCAGCAUGGCAGUUACGUCUGGGGCUUCACACAUGCUACAAUGGGCGAAACAGAGGGCCGCGAUACCGUGAGGUGGAGCCAAUCCCAAAAAUACGCCCCCAGUUCAGAUUGCAGUCUGCAAC